UGGCUAUGAUUACAAAAUUAUCCGCGCUUCUGAGAUUAUUUUGGUCUAUGAAGUAUAUACGGAAAACAAUGGUUGAAUUUCUUAAUAUGAGCCA
rfam:Capsella rubella cultivar Monte Gargano unplaced genomic scaffold scaffold_6, whole genome shotgun sequence.